UACGUAGGGUGCAAGCGUUGUCCGGAAUUAUUGGGCGUAAAGAGCUCGUAGGCGGUCUGUCGCGUCGGAUGUGAAAAUCCAGGGCUCAACCCUGGACCUGCAUUCGAUACGGGCAGACUAGAGUUCGGUAGGGGAGACUGGAAUUCCUGGUGUAGCGGUGAAAUGCGCAGAUAUCAGGAGGAACACCGGUGGCGAAGGCGGCUCACUGGACCACAACUGACGCUGAGGCGCGAAAGCUAGGGGAGCAAACAGG
rnacentral:rRNA from 1 species